UAUUGAACGCAUAUUGCGGCCACGGGUCCGUCCUGUGGCCACGCCCGUCUGAGGGUCGGCGACGUUCUACCCAUCGCUGGGAGGCUCUUGCCCCAGCGCCUUGAGCUUUCGCAGGCUUUCGCAAAGUACUGCGUGGCUUGAAAUGCAGACUCGAAAUGUUUGUUUGUUUGCCUGGCUGCUUUUAGUUGCGUGGCGGACCUCAUGCGAGCAAAGGACAUGGCUCGGAUAAUGUCUGUCUUUGCUCUACGACCACCACCCAAAAUACGGUUAAGGCAUCCAUCCCAUUUCCGACCUCAGAUCGGACGAGAUUACCCGCUGAAUUUAAGCAUAUCAC
rnacentral:rRNA from 1 species